UUUGCGGGUGCGGCGUCGGUCUAAGUCUCUUGGAACGGGGCGUCAUAGAGGGUGAGAAUCCCGUAUGUGACCGAUGACCAAGCCUAUGUGAAGCUCCUUCGACGAGUCGAGUUGUUUGGGAAUGCAGCUCAAAAUGGGUGGUAAAUUUCAUCUAAAGCUAAAUACUGGCCAGAGACCGAUAGCGCACAAGUAGAGUGAUCGAAAGAUGAAAAGCACUUUGGAAAGAGAGUCAAAAAGUACGUGAAAUUGUUGAAAGGGAAGCGCUUGCAACCAGACCUGUCCGUGGGUGAUCAACCGUCCUUCUGGGCGGUGUACUCUCCCGUGAUCAGGCCAGCAUCGGUUCGGGCGGCCGGAUAAAGGCCUUAGGAACGUAGCUCCCGUCGGGGAGUGUUAUAGCCUUCGGUGCAAUGUGGCCAGCCUGGACCGAGGAUCGCGCUUCGGCAAGGAUGCUGGCGUAAUGGUUGUAAGCGGCCCGUCUUGAAACACGGACCAAGGAGUCUAAUAUCUAUGCGAGUGUUUGGGUGUUAAACCCAUACGCGUAAUGAAAGUGAACGGAGGUGGGAGCCCAAAAGGGUGCACCAUCGACCGAUCCAGAUGUUUUCGGAUGGAUUUGAGUACGAGCAUGUAUAUUGGGACCCGAAAGAUGGUGAACUAUGCCUGAAUAGGGUGAAGCCAGAGGAAACUCUGGUGG
rnacentral:rRNA from 1 species